UAGUAUUACUUCAUGAUUUUC
ensembl:piRNA 21ur-4535 ncRNA